UACGUAGGGGGCAAGCGUUAUCCGGAUUUACUGGGUGUAAAGGGAGCGUAGACGGCGAUGCAAGUCUGAAGUGAAAGGCGGGGGCCCAACCCCCGGACUGCUUUGGAAACUGUAUGGCUGGAGUGCAGGAGAGGUAAGCGGAAUUCCUAGUGUAGCGGUGAAAUGCGUAGAUAUCGCGCAGAACCCCGAUUGCGAAGGCAGCGUGCCGUGCCGCCACUGACGCUGAGGCACGAAAGCGCGGGGAUCGAACAGG
rnacentral:rRNA from 1 species